GAUGAACGCUGGCGGCGUGCCUAAUACAUGCAAGUCGAGCGAAUGGAUUAAGAGCUUGCUCCGGUGGAUUAGUGGCGAACGGGUGAGUAACACGUGAGUAACCUGCCCUUGACUCUGGGAUAACUGCGGGAAGCUGUAGCUAAUACCGGAUACGACCCUCGGCGGCAUCGCCAGGGGGUGGAAAGAAUUUCGGUCAAGGAUGGGCUCGCGGCCUAUCAGCUAGUUGGUGAGGUAACGGCUCACCAAGGCGACGACGGGUAGCCGGCCUGAGAGGGUGACCGGCCACACUGGGACUGAGACACGGCCCAGACUCCUACGGGAGGCAGCAGUGGGGAAUAUUGCACAAUGGGCGCAAGCCUGAUGCAGCAACGCCGCGUGAGGGAUGACGGCCUUCGGGUUGUAAACCUCUUUUAGUAGGGAAGAAGCGAAAGUGACGGUACCUGCAGAAAAAGCACCGGCUAACUACAUGCCAGCAGCCGCCGUAA
rnacentral:rRNA from 1 species